rnacentral:rRNA from 1 species
AUGAAAAUCAUCAGCUAGAACUGCCGGGGUCUCGGGAAUGGCCCGGCAGUUCGAAAUCUCCUCAAAAUGGGGAGGGUGGAGGAGCCUGAUGUGCUGUUUUUAGCGGAGACAAGAUUGACGGAGAGGGAGUUGGAUAGUCUAAGGUGGUUGCUGGGGCUGGUUCAUUUACUUGCUUGGGAUCCGGAGGGCAGAAGUAGAGGCAUUGCGUUGUUCUGGAGGAGGGGCGUGGAG